rnacentral:rRNA from 1 species
UCGUCACACUAUCGUUAACUGAAUACAUAGGUUAACGAGGCGAACCGGGGGAACUGAAACAUCUAAGUACCCCGAGGAAAAGAAAUCAACCGAGAUUCCCCCAGUAGCGGCGAGCGAACGGGGAGCAGCCCAGAGUCUGAAUCAGCUUGUGUGUUAGUGGAACGGUCUGGAAAGUCCGACGGUACAGGGUGAUAGUCCCGUACACCAAAAUGCACAGGUUGUGAACUCGAAGAGUAGGGCGGGACACGUGGUAUCCUGUCUGAAUAUGGGGGGACCAUCCUCCAAGGCUAAAUACUCCUGACUGACCGAUAGUGAACCAGUACCGUGAGGGAAAGGCGAAAAGAACCCCGGCGAGGGGAGUGAAAAAGAACCUGAAACCGUGUACGUACAAGCAGUGGGAGCACCUUCGGGUGUGACUGCGUACCUUUUGUAUAAUGGGUCAGCGACUUAUAUUCUGUAGCAAGGUUAACCGUAUAGGGGAGCCGCAGGGAAACCGAGUCUUAACUGGGCGUUAAGUUGCAGGGUAUAGACCCGAAACCCGGUGAUCUAGCCAUGGGCAGGUUGAAGGUUGGGUAACACUAACUGGAGGACCGAACCGACUAAUGUUGAAAAAUUAGCGGAUGACUUGUGGCUGGGGGUGAAAGGCCAAUCAAACCGGGAGAUAGCUGGUUCUCCCCGAAAGCUAUUUAGGUAGCGCCUCGUGAACUCAUCUUCGGGGGUAGAGCACUGUUUCGGCUAGGGGGUCAUCCCGACUUACCAACCCGAUGCAAACUACGAAUACCGAAGAAUGUUAUCACGGGAGACACACGGCGGGUGCUAACGUCCGUCGUGAAGAGGGAAACAACCCAGACCGCCAGCUAAGGUCCCAAAGUCAUGGUUAAGUGGGAAACGAUGUGGGAAGGCACAGACAGCCAGGAUGUUGGCUUAGAAGCAGCCAUCAUUUAAAGAAAGCGUAAUAGCUCACUGGUCGAGUCGGCCUGCGCGGAAGAUGUAACGGGGCUAAACCAUGCACCGAAGCUGCGGCAGCGACACUAUGUGUUGUUGGGUAGGGGAGCGUUCUGUAAGCCUGCGAAGGUGUGCUGUGAGGCAUGCUGGAGGUAUCAGAAGUGCGAAUGCUGACAUAAGUAACGAUAAAGCGGGUGAAAAGCCCGCUCGCCGGAAGACCAAGGGUUCCUGUCCAACGUUAAUCGGGGCAGGGUGAGUCGACCCCUAAGGCGAGGCCGAAAGGCGUAGUCGAUGGGAAACAGGUUAAUAUUCCUGUACUUGGUGUUACUGCGAAGGGGGGACGGAGAAGGCUAUGUUAGCCGGGCGACGGUUGUCCCGGUUUAAGCAUGUAGGCUGAUUGUCCAGGCAAAUCCGGAUAAUCAAGGCUGAGGUGUGAUGACGAGGCACUACGGUGCUGAAGUAACAAAUGCCCUGCUUCCAGGAAAAGCCUCUAAGCAUCAGGUAACAUUAAAUCGUACCCCAAACCGACACAGGUGGUCAGGUAGAGAAUACCAAGGCGCUUGAGAGAACUCGGGUGAAGGAACUAGGCAAAAUGGUGCCGUAACUUCGGGAGAAGGCACGCUGGUGUGUAGGUGAAGUCCCUGCGGAUGGAGCUGAGACCAGUCGAAGAUACCAGCUGGCUGCAACUGUUUAUUAAAAACACAGCACUGUGCAAACACGAAAGUGGACGUAUACGGUGUGACGCCUGCCCGGUGCCGGAAGGUUAAUUGAUGGGGUUAUCCGUAAGGAGAAGCUCUUGAUCGAAGCCCCGGUAAACGGCGGCCGUAACUAUAACGGUCCUAAGGUAGCGAAAUUCCUUGUCGGGUAAGUUCCGACCUGCACGAAUGGCGUAAUGAUGGCCAGGCUGUCUCCACCCGAGACUCAGUGAAAUUGAACUCGCUGUGAAGAUGCAGUGUACCCGCGGCAAGACGGAAAGACCCCGUGAACCUUUACUAUAGCUUGACACUGAACAUUGAGCCUUGAUGUGUAGGAUAGGUGGGAGGCUUUGAAGCGUGGACGCCAGUCUGCGUGGAGCCAACCUUGAAAUACCACCCUUUAAUGUUUGAUGUUCUAACGUUGGCCCCUUACCGGGGUUGCGGACAGUGUCUGGUGGGUAGUUUGACUGGGGCGGUCUCCUCCCAAAGCGUAACGGAGGAGCACGAAGGUUAGCUAAUCCUGGUCGGACAUCAGGAGGUUAGUGCAAUGGCAUAAGCUAGCUUGACUGCGAGCGUGACGGCGCGAGCAGGUGCGAAAGCAGGUCAUAGUGAUCCGGUGGUUCUGAAUGGAAGGGCCAUCGCUCAACGGAUAAAAGGUACUCCGGGGAUAACAGGCUGAUACCGCCCAAGAGUUCAUAUCGACGGCGGUGUUUGGCACCUCGAUGUCGGCUCAUCACAUCCUGGGGCUGAAGUAGGUCCCAAGGGUAUGGCUGUUCGCCAUUUAAAGUGGUACGCGAGCUGGGUUUAGAACGUCGUGAGACAGUUCGGUCCCUAUCUGCCGUGGGCGCUGGAGAAUUGAGGGGGGCUGCUCCUAGUACGAGAGGACCGGAGUGGACGCAUCACUGGUGUUCGGGUUGUCAUGCCAAUGGCACUGCCCGGUAGCUAAAUGCGGAAGAGAUAAGUGCUGAAAGCAUCUAAGCACGAAACUUGCCCCGAGAUGAGUUCUCCCUGAGACUUUAAGUCUCCUGAAGGAACGUUGAAGACGACGACGUUGAUAGGCCGGGUGUGUAAGCGCAGCGAUGCGUUGAGCUAACCGGUACUAAUGAACCGUGAGGCUUAACCUU